AGCGUUAACGAACGAGACCUUAACCUGCUAAAUAGCCCGUAUUGCUUUGGCAGUACGCUGGCUUCUUAGAGGGACUAUCGGCUCAAGCCGAUGGAAGUUUGAGGCAAUAACAGGUCUGUGAUGCCCUUAGAUGUUCUGGGCCGCACGCGCGCUACACUGAUACGUUCAUCGAGCUUACAACCUUGGUUGAGAGGCCUGGGUAAUCUUUUUAAACCGUAUCGUGCUGGGGAUAGAUUAUUGUAAUUUUUAAUCUUCAACGAGGAAUUCCUAGUAAACGCUGGUCAUCAACCAGCAUUGAUUACGUCCCUGCCCUUUGUACACACCGCCCGUCGCUAGUACCGAUUGAAUGGAUGG
rnacentral:rRNA from 1 species